rnacentral:rRNA from 1 species
AUGCGUGCUUUCAAUGGGUAUGUUAAGCAAUGUGGUUUGUUCGACUUGGGCUUUUCUGGCCCUGCUUAUACGUGGACAAAUAGACGUUUUUCUUCCAAACCUGUGUUUGAAAGGCUUGAUCGUUGCUUGGCAAAUGCUGAAUGGUGUGAUCUUUUUCCGAACACUAAUGUUUUUAACUUGCCUAUUAUUUUGAGUGAUCAUGCUCCUAUAUUGGUCUCCACGGAAUCGAAGUUUCGCAGGCCUCGGUUGACUUUUAAGUUUGAAAAU